rnacentral:rRNA from 1 species
AGCGAACGCUGGCGGCGUGCCUAACACAUGCAAGUCGAACGUGAAAAGGGAAACCUGAGUAAAGUGGCGUACGGGUGAGUAACGCGUAGGUAAUCUACCCCAGAAUCUGGAAUAACCUGCCGAAAGGCGGGCUAAUACUGGAUAGAGCGAGGGAACUCGUAAGAGAGUUUUUCGGGAAAGGGAGCCCGCAAGGGCCUUCGUUCUGGGAUGAGCCUGCGUUUCAUUAGCUAGUUGGUAAGGUAACGGCUUACCAAGGCGAUGAUGAGUAGCUGGUCUGAGAGGAGGAGAAGCCAAGCUGGAACUGAAACACGGUCCAGCAUCCUGGGGGUGGGAGCAGUGGGGAAUUCUGCGGAAUGGAAGAAAGUCUGACGCAGCCACGCCGCGUGAGAGAAGAAGGUCUCCGGGUUGUAAAGCUCUGGCGGAUGGGACGAUCAUCUUGAUAGUGAAUAGCUAUAAGGACUGACGGUACCAGCAAAGGAAGCACCGGCUAACUCCGUG